rnacentral:rRNA from 1 species
CUACGGGCGGCUGCAGUGGGGAAUCUUAGACAAUGGGCGCAAGCCUGAUCUAGCCAUGCCGCGUGAGUGAUGAAGGCCUUAGGGUCGUAAAGCUCUUUCGCUGGGGAAGAUAAUGACGGUACCCAGUAAAGAAACCCCGGCUAACUCCGUGCCAGCAGCCGCGGUAAUACGGAGGGGGUUAGCGUUGUUCGGAAUUACUGGGUGUAAAGCGCGCGUAGGCGGACUGUUAAGUCAGGGGUGAAAUCCCGGGGCGCAACCCCGGAACGGCCUUCGAUACUGGCAGUCUGGAGUUCGAGAGAGGUGAGUGGAAUUCCGAGUGUAGAGGUGAAAUUCGUAGAUAUUCGGAGGAACACCAGUGGCGAAGGCGGCUCACUGGCUCGAUACUGACGCUGAGGUGCGAAAGUGUGGGGAGCAAACAGGAUUAGAUACCCGCGUAGUC